GGACCCUUAGCUCAGCAGGCAGAGCACCUGACUCUUAAUCAGGGUGUCCGGGGUUCGAGACCCCGAGGGUCCACCA
rnacentral:tRNA from 1 species